rnacentral:rRNA from 1 species
CAGAGGGUGCGAGCGUUGUCCGGAAUCACUGGGCGUAAAGGGCGCGUAGGUGGCGGGCCAAGUCGGUGGUGAAAGCUCGAUGCUUAACAUCGAGUCGGCCAUCGAUACUGGUUUGCUCGAGCACUGUAGGGGCAGAUGGAAUUCCGGGUGUAGCGGUGGAAUGCGUAGAGAUCCGGAAGAACACCGGUGGCGAAGGCGGUCUGCUGGGCAGUUGCUGACACUGAGGCGCGACAGCGUGGGGAGCAAACAGGAUUAGAUACCCUGGUAGUCCACGCCGUAAACGAUGGGCACUAGAUGCUUGGGGGAGCGACCCCCUGAGUGUCGUCGCUAACGCAGUAAGUGCCCCGCCUGGGGAGUACGGCCGCAAGGCUG